ACGUUCGGGUAAUCGCGGCGAUUUCUUUUGAAAAUCGUUGAGGAAAGUCCAUGCUCGCACGGGCUGCGACGCCCGUAGUGUUCGUGCCUGGCGAAAAGAUAAGCCAGGGUAUUCUGGUUUCGACUGGAUUAACGGCAGGGAACUCACCUAAGUCGCAAGAUAUGGUGACACUACCUUUAAUGUGCCACAGUGACGUAGUCUUUUCGGAAACGAAAAGAGUGGAACGCGGUAAACCCCACGAGCGAGAAACCCAAAUUAUGGUAGGGGAGUUUUCUUUGCGGAACUGAACGCGAAGAAGAUCAGGUGAAUCACCUGAAGAUAGAUGAUUACCACCGGAGUACGAGACUUAGCAGUCGUCUGUAGUACGAAGGAACAGAACAUGGCUUACAGAA
rnacentral:RNase_P_RNA from 2 species